AAAGCAUGAUGGGAAAGACUGACUGACGACACAGCUUAAUGCUCAUUGGUUCAGACAACCGUGAUGCUGCGUUCUCUUCUAAAAUGUUUUAUUUUUUUAAUCUGAUUUCAUGCUAUUAUGUAUUUAAAUUGUGCAUGAAUAUUCCCAAACACUAGACAGUGCGAUCUCUUUGUGAGAUAUGUGAUUGUUGUCAUAUUUUCUAUAAAAAUCUAAAAUGCAUGUUUGAAUUAAAAUAAAAAUGGAUGAUAAAUACGCCUUUCGUAUGGAAUUAAAUAGCAAGCACUUUGAGUGUCUUGUUCAUAUUUAUAUUCAUAUAAAAGCAACAGAACUGAAAUUAUAUCAUGUUUAUCAGCAGCACAGCAUAUGAGUGAGAAUAACGCAAUAUCUGCCUUUGAUCUCGUAGGUAUCUGCUCCACUUCGAGAGCUCAGAACUAUCUGUCUUGACUGUGCUUAUUUCCCUCCUCCCCUCACUGCAGCCGCCUCAUCUACAUUUCAGCCGAGGCGAGGCGCAUCUCAAACAAGUCUAUUCUCAGUAUUAUUCAUGAGAAUGAACUCUUACCAUCCAAUCACUGCGCUGUAUUAUGCAUGAGGUCAUCUUACAGCGGAGAAUUCAAAUCUCGUGAAAGAGCUUCGCGCUGUCAGUUCAUUUCUGUGAACAUGACCACAACAAUAUUUAAUAUGACAACACAUGGAGCGCGCGUGAGAGAGCGGUUUCUGGGCGGAACGCCGGGAUGGGUUUAAUAACACUCACUGCAGGUGUCGUAGUUCAUAUCCGGACCAGAACAAGCCUGUUUCAAGUGUUUGUGAGUACAGGUGCAUCUCAAUAAAUUAAAAUAUCGUGGAAAAGUUCAUUUAUUUCAGUAAUUCAACUCAAAUUGUGAAACUCAAAGUGACUACCAAAAACCUUAUUAAAUCAUGUUGCGUGAUUUAUUUAAAUACUCUCGUACCAUACAUUUUGCACAGUACUGUAUAUUUACAUGAACUGAAUAAGACAGAAGCAAAAAACCUUACUGAAAAAUGUCUUGAAAAAGGGUUUAAUGCCUUAAAUGUCCCUUCAGUUUGAUAAUUAUUCUAGUCUGUAAUGUUUAUCAUUCAUGAGCAGGCAAGCAGAGAUGAGGGUCAAAAACGAGGUAAACACUAAGGCUAGUUAGACUAAUCAGCAGGGGGAAACUACAAAGCAUACUGUACAAACAUGACUCAGGAAAAAGGAAGUUAAAGAGACACACCAGGAAGAUAUAAGAAUGUGCGGAUGGGUGGUUAUUUUUGCUUACCAAAUUAACUUUACUGAUUAAUAAAACCCCAGCUGACCCCCGUCCUCAAUGUAAUCGAGUUUUUCUUCACUGUUAACACCCAUCAGGUUUAGGUUUUACACAUAUAUUAAUGCACAUCAAAUUAUAGUUUCCACAGAACACAUUGCACAAAAGGGGCACGUGCCCCCUCAGAUUUUUGAGCCAAGUGGAUUUUAAAUACAGCUUCCAAAAGACAAAAAAAUAGCCAAAUAAUAUUUUCUAUAUUUGAUACAAUCACACCAGCGUGAUUAAAGGGGAGGGGGUGUUCAUAAAGGCUGUUCCACUCGUCCCCCUCACGUAUCCAAAUGAGAUUGUAGGCAUAUCUGAGGUCCAGUUUGGUGAAGAUCCUGGCAAUAAUCAAUAAAAGGCCUCAAGCCUUCUUUGCCACAAAGAAAAAGCUGGAAGCAGCAGGGGAAGUGGAUGGACAUAUAUAACCUUGUUGUAAUGCCUCCUCAAUAUAUUCACCUUCGUUUAUGAGCGCUGCGGACACACAGAUGAAGUAGAAACUGCAGAAACAGGAAAAAAAAAAAAAAAAGCUUCUAUGAAAAUAUUCUUGUGGGUUUUAGGAGUGACCCCAUCAAUAGUGCUGAGAUUAUGUAACUAUUCAUCUCUGAACUCAAACACAGCUUUUGAAAUGCAGUAAUAAGCUGUCUACCAUGUAUUUUGGGAUGCUGAAUAAUUGCAUUGUUCACAUUUUUUUUUUUUUCUUACUCCAAGUAUGCAGCCAAAAACAUAUUUGAGUGUAAUCAAAAAUGGCGUUAGUACAAAUAAAUAAAUAGCAAAUAAAUAAUAUACAUUUUUAGCUUUUGAAAUCUUGGCUUGUGAAAUUCUCUUAAAUGUUCAUAAUCUAAGCCUACAGUUUAUAUUCAGCCUACAGCAUGUAUGCAUGCUCACACACACACUGUUUAAAAGUUCAGGGUUGGUAAGACUUUUCAAUGUUUUUAAGAAGUACCCUGUAAGGCUGCAUUUAUUUGAUCAAAAUGCAAUAAAAACCAUAAUAUUGUGAAAUAUUAUUACAAUUUAAAAUAACUUUUUUUUCCUGUUUUGAUAUUUUUUAAAAUAUAAUUUAUUUCUAUGAACAAGCUGAAUUUUCAGCAGCCAUUACUUAAUUCUUCAGUGUCACAUGAUCCUUCAGAAAUCAUUCUACUGUGCUGAAUUGCUGCUCAUGAGACAUUUUAUUAUUAUUAUUAUUUAUUCUUUGAUAAAUAAACGGUUCAAAUGAACAGCAUUGUUUAAAAUAUAACUGCAGCAAUGAUUUGUAAAUCCCUUUUUUGGGUGUGUUCAGGAUGCAACAGAUUGUUCCCUAUAGAGUUCUUGGAGAUUAAAGCAGUCCCCGGCUCUAAAUGUUUUAGGCAGAGUGCUGUUCUGUUCUCCUGCAGGAAAACACACAUUUAAAAGGCAGAUUUAUGAAAAUCUAAGCUGAAUUUCUGUGCUGUAUUUCCCUGUUGCUCAUUUUUCUCUGUAUGUCAAAAUGAGAAGUUUGCUGGAAUUUUGUAAUCUUGUGCUGAUUUACAGCGACAGUAAACUAAAGAUGUGAUAUUCAAGACAUAACAAGGGAAAUCAUUUGAGUAUCAGGAUCCAGAAUACAACACUUUCCCAGAGGGAUUUACGAAAGGAAGAUUCCCUCUCAUACUCAUUUGGUGGUUCGUCUGUGUAUUUGCAGUGCUAAUAAACAAAGUGUCUCUGCAGGUCACAGUAGAGGGUGUUAUUGGUGGUUCUGUUGUCCUGCCGUGUUCUUCAGCUGAACAUGAUCUUAAACUUCAAGACAUUGAUGUGCACUGGAGAGACAAAAAUGACAAAAUUGUGUAUAGUAUAAUUAAGGGUGAACAUUCAGUAGCUGGACAAGACCCACAGUACAAGGAUAGAGUUGAAACAUUUCCAUCUGAGUAUCUGAGAGGAAACUUCUCCAUCAAACUCUCUGGUCUCACUCACGCUGAUGCUGGACAGUACAUCUGCUACAUCACACCUUCAGAUGAACAGGAGACUGUACAACUGAUCAUCAAGGAAAAGGAGAAAGGAGAAUAUGCUGGAGCAGUUAGUGCGGGGACGUCAUCGCACUACGUUUACAUUGUAUUACCUGCAUUAUUUAUAGUGCUUAUAGCCUGAUUCAUCAGAUUUCUAGCUGCCUAAUGCUCUCCUGUCAGGACUGAAGAACAAAUAACAAUAAACGUAUUUGGUUUU